rnacentral:rRNA from 1 species
UAGAGUUUUGUUCAUGGCUCAGAACGAACGCUGGCGGCGUGCCUAACACAUGCAAGUCGAGCGCGAAUGGGGAAACCCUAGUAGAGCGGCGCACGGGUGCGUAACACGUGGAUAAUCUGCCUGGAUGCCUGGGAUAACCAGUCGAAAGAUUGGCUAAUACCGGAUAAGCCCACGGUUUCUUCGGAGACUGAGGGAAAAGGUGGCCUCUGUAAACAAGCUAUCACAACCAGAUGAGUCCGCGGCCCAUCAGCUAGUUGGCGGGGUAAUGGCCCACCAAGGCGACGACGGGUAGCUGGUCUGAGAGGACGAUCAGCCACACUGGAACUGAGACACGGUCCAGACUCCUACGGGAGGCAGCAGUGGGGAAUUUUGCGCAAUGGGCGAAAGCCUGACGCAGCAACGCCGCGUGUGUGAUGAAGGUCUUUGGAUUGUAAAGCACUUUCGACCGGGACGAAACCGUAAAGCCUAAUACGCUUUGCCUUGACGGUACCGGGAGAAGAAGCACCGGCUAACUCUGUGCCAGCAGCCGCGGUAAUACAGAGGGUGCAAGCGUUGUUCGGAAUUAUUGGGCGUAAAGCGCGUGUAGGCGGCUUUGCAAGUCGGGUGUGAAAGCCCUCAGCUCAACUGAGGAAGUGCGCCCGAAACUGCAGAGCUUGAGUGCCGGAGAGGGUGGCGGAAUUCCCCAAGUAGAGGUGAAAUUCGUAGAUAUGGGGAGGAACACCGGUGGCGAAGGCGGCCACCUGGACGGUAACUGACGCUGAGACGCGAAAGCGUGGGUAGCAAACAGGAUUAGAUACCCUGGUAGUCCACGCCGUAAACGAUGAGAACUAGGUGUCGUGGGAGUUGACCCCCGCGGUGCCGUAGCUAACGCAUUAAGUUCUCCGCCUGGGAAGUACGGUCGCAAGACUAAAACUCAAAGGAAUUGACGGGGGCCCGCACAAGCGGUGGGAGCAUGUGGUUUAAUUCGACGCAACGCGCAGAACCUUUACCCUGUCUUGACAUCCUCGGAAUC